UAAAACCAUAGAGUGAAGAGUUGAUACCGAGUCUUGUCAUGGGCUGAUCUGUUACAGCUGCCCUUAGGGUUUGCAUCCCCAAAAAUUCAUUUUUAAGCUGAAUCUCCCUUGUGCCUCCAGUUUUUAAGGCCUUGCAGUCAAAAACAUGCUAUGGCAAGGCAUAGGUUUCUGCAUUUCAUGUUAUGGUUUUGCUCAGUUGAACCAAAUGCAAACUUGAAAUGGGGAACCUCCGAAAGUUAAUCUUUUACAUUUUGCCUAUUUUGAGGUAAAUCUUUUCAGUUUUUGCUGUUGUAAAAUACAGGCUUAAACUGAAGACAGCUCUUCAGUGUUCCCAGCUUGCGACAUGUUGGGCUUUUUGUGGAUCCUGUACAUGUCCAGGCAAAACUCCCACACAUUUUGAUGCAGCCUGGAUCAGACCCCUGCUGCAAACAGAAGAGCUGCCUCUGGCAAUAUUCAGAAGAACAUGACGCCCAAGAAGACUCACCAAUCUUUGUAUAAACCAUGGACCAACCGAGGAGAUUCCAGAGGAUCACCAGAUCUUUGCAAAUCCUUCAGCUGAACAAGCCCACCCUUCUGAACUCUUUCAUCCAGAUUUCCUUUGAUUAUUCAUCACACCUUUAA
rnacentral:lncRNA from 14 species